GAAAGGGAGAGUAACGCGUGGAUACCUGCCCUUGGCUCCGGGAUAGCGUCGGGAAACUGGCGGUAAUACCGGAUAAUAUCCCCGGAUCAAAGGUGUGAUUCCGGCCGAGGAUGGGUCCGCGUCCUAUUAGGUUGUUGGUGAGGUAAUGGCUCACCAAGCCAAAGAUGGGUACCGGGUGUGAGAGCAUGGCCCGGCUCACUGGGACUGAGACACUGCCCAGACACCUACGGGUGGCUGCAGUCGAGAAUCUUCCGCAAUGGGCGCAAGCCUGACGGAGCGACGCCGCGUGCGGGAUGAAGGCCUUCGGGUUGUAAACCGCUGUCAGUAGGGAGCAAAUGCAUCAGGGCAAUCUCUGGUGUUUGAGCGAUCUGCAGAGGAAGUACGGGCUAAGUACGUGCCAGCAGCCGCGGUAACACGUACCGUACGAACGUUAUUCGGAAUCACUGGGCUUAAAGAGUCCGUAGGCGGCUCGGUAGGUGAGGUGUGAAAUCCCACGGCUCAACCGUGGAACUGCGCUUCAAACCACCGGGCUUGAGGGAGAUAGAGGUGAGCGGAACUGAUGGUGGAGCGGUGAAAUGCGUUGAUAUCA
rnacentral:rRNA from 1 species